CAGUCGCCGCGGGAAUACGGAGGGAGCUAGCGUUGUUCGGAAUUACUGGGCGUAAAGCGUGCGUAGGCGGCUUCUUAAGUCGGAUGUGAAAUCCCUGAGCUUAACUUAGGAAUUGCAUUCGAUACUGGGAAGCUAGAGUAUGGGAGAGGAUGGUAGAAUUCCAGGUGUAGCGGUGAAAUGCGUAGAGAUCUGGAGGAAUACCGAUGGCGAAGGCAGCCAUCUGGCCUAAUACUGACGCUGAGGUACGAAAGCAUGGGGAGCAAACAGGAUUAGAUACCCCCGUAGUCCCUGUCUCUUAUAC
rnacentral:rRNA from 1 species